GUGUGCUCUUGUGAUCUGAAAUAUAUUGGAGUCAAGAGGACCAUCUUCCUAUACUUUCCAAGAUUCUUCACCACUAUCUUUGUCACAGCAAAUAUUAUUAUAGGAUUUUUAAAACUGUAAGAAAGUACACAUGAAAGGACUUAUCCAAAGUCAAAUGCUUCAUAAGUGGCAUUCUACUCUAUGUUCCUGAGUUCCUAUGAGGAUUGCAUUGGAAAUU